rnacentral:rRNA from 1 species
CCUACGGUAGGUAGCCGUGAGGAAUAUUGGUCAAUGGGCGCGAGCCUGAACCAGCCAAGUAGCGUGAAGGAUGACUGCCCUACGGGUUUUAAACUUCUUUUAUAAAGGAAUAAAGUGAGGCACGUGUGCCUUUUUGUAUGUACUUUAUGACUAAAGAUCGGCUAACUCCGUGCCAGCAGCCGCUGUAAUACUGAGGAUCCGAGCGUUAUCCGGAUUUAUUGGGUUUAAAGGGAGCGUAGAUGGGUUGUUAAGUCAGUUGUGAAAGUUUGGGGCUCAACCGUAAAAUUGCAAUUGAUACUGGCAGUCUUGAGUACAGUUGAGGUAGGCGGAAUUCGUGGUGUAGCUGUGAAAUGCUUAGAUAUCACGAAGAACUCCGAUUGCGAAGGCAGCUUACUAAACUGCCACUGACAUUGAUGCUCGAAAGUGUGGGUAUCAAACAGGAUUAGAUACCCUUGUAGUC